GUGAUUUAGAUUUAACAGCUGCGGUAUUUUAACUGUACUAAGGUAGCAUAAUAAUUUGCCUUAUAAAUUGGGGCUAGAAUGAAUGGUUUGACGAAGGUUUAACUGUCUCUAUUUUAUUUAUUAGAAAUUAAUUUUUUAGUGAGAAAGCUAAAAUAUUUUAAAGGGACGAGAAGACCCUAUUGAGCUUGAAUUUAAUUAUGUAAUAAUAUUACAUUUUGAUAAAUUUUAAUUGGGGUGAUUAAGGAAUAAAAUAUUUAUAUUAAUAACUUCCUUAUUAAAAAGUGCUGUUGGGUUAAGUAACCAAUAAUAUUGCUUAUAAUAAAGUUACCAUAGGGAUAACAGCGUAAUUUAUUUAGAGAGUUCUUAUUGA
rnacentral:rRNA from 1 species